UACCAGCACCCCGAGUGGUCGAGACGAUUAUUGGGCCUAAAGCAUCCGUAGCCGGUCAUGCAAGUCCUCCGUUAAAUCCACCUGCUUAACAGAUGGGCUGCGGAGGAUACUACAAGGCUAGGAGGCGGAAGAGGCAAGCGGUACUCAGUGGGUAGGGGUAAAAUCCUCUGAUCCAUUGAAGACCACCAGUGGCGAAGGCGGCUUGCCAAUACGCGCUCGACGGUGAGGGAUGAAAGCUGGGGGAGCAAACCGG
rnacentral:rRNA from 1 species